GCCCUCUGGAGUUUCACUUUUUAAUUCUUCUUGGUGCAAGCAACGCAGAUUAGUUUUUUCAUCGCUACCUACAAGUGUCCUCUGAAGAAAGAGGAUUCGGUUCUACAGCAAUGGCUGCAUUUGUUUGCAUCAUUAGGUGAUCGUGCAAAGAGCUGGGAUAACGUGGCUGUGUUAGUUGACGAAACUAUUAAACCACAAGCUCCGUGUAGCCCAUUCCUACAGACCCCAACACGCCAGAACAUUAAACCAAAGGCCACUCUAAUAAGGAAUAAGAACACAGCAAACAGACAAUCAGCCCCUGAACAAAGGAUCCGCAAGGGCGAGGG